GAUGAAGAACGUAGCGAAAUGCGAUACUUGGUGUGAAUUGCAGAAUCCCGUGAACCAUCGAGUCUUUGAACGCAAGUUGCGCCCGAAGCCAUCAGGUUGAGGGCACGUCUGCCUGGGCGUCACAUCUCGUUGCCCAAUGCCUAUUGCAGUGCAAUAGGAAUUUCUAGGGCGAAUGAUGGCUUCCCGUGAGCGUUGUUGCCUCGCGGUUGGUUGAAAAUCGAGUCCUUGGUAGGGUCUGCCAUGGUAGAUGGUGGUCGAGUUAGAACGAUACCGAUCAUGUGCAUGCUCCCCAAAAUAUGGCCUCUAUGACCCACACGCGUCUUUUGACGCUCAUGACGAGACCUCAGGUCAGGCGGGGCUACCCGCUGAAUUUAAGAAUAUCAAUAAGCGGAGGA
rnacentral:misc_RNA from 1 species